rnacentral:rRNA from 1 species
GACGAACGCUGGCGGCGUGCCUAAUACAUGCAAGUCGAGCGGACAGAAGGGAGCUUGCUCCCGGAAGUUAGCGGCGGACGGGUGAGUAACACGUGGGCAACCUACACUGUAGAUCGGGAUAACAUCGAGAAAUCGGUGCUAAUACCGGAUCAUCAUUUGAAGUGCACGCUUCGAAUGGAAAAGAUGGCUCCGGCUAUCACUACGGGAUGGGCCCGCGGCGCAUUAGCUAGUUGGAAAGGUAAUGGCUUACCAAGGCAACGAUGCGUAGCCGACCUGAGAGGGUGAUCGGCCACACUGGGACUGAGACACGGCCCAGACUCCUACGGGAGGCAGCAGUAGGGAAUCUUCCGCAAUGGACGAAAGUCUGACGGAGCAACGCCGCGUGAGUGAUGAAGGUUUUCGGAUCGUAAAGCUCUGUUGUUAGGGAAGAACAAGUGCCGUUUGAAUAAGGCGGCACCUUGACGGUACCUAACCAGAAAGCCACGGCUAACUACGUGCCAGCCGCCGCAGUAACAC